AAUGUUUGACACCAUUGACUUUUAAUCGCAUGUUUGACCAUUCGUCUUAUUCAAAAAAAAUUAUGUAAAUAUAAUUUAUUUUGUUACGAGUUGUUUAAUUACAAAAGAAAUUUUAAACAUGACUUAUAAUUAUAAAUAUUUAGACAAAUUUUUUGAAUAAGAUGAAUGGUUAAACAUGCGCUAAAAAGUUAACGG
rnacentral:pre_miRNA from 1 species